UGCAGUGAGCUGAGAUCUUGCCAUUGCACUCCAGCCUGGGCAACAGAGUGAGACUCUGUCUCAAAAAAAGAGAAAUACAUUUAACCAAAGAGAUGCAAUACGUAUACAUUGACAAUUUUAAAAUACUGCUCAAAGAAAUAACAAAAGACCUAAAUGAGGAAAAAGUCAUCCCAGUAUCAUAAAUCAAAAGGCUUAAAAUUAGUUAUCUCCCUCUAGGGAACCUAGACUAAUACACUCACCCCGUCUCCUUGUUCGGAGGCUCUCCUGCCUAUCAGCUUUUCUCCUCUGUGCUUUCCAUGUCCCUGUGGUUCUCUGGUGAGCCCCAUCAUGCUGUCCUAGAAGAUCCACUUAGAAUUUCGGUAUUUACUCACCAUUUUGACUCCUCUUAACGAGACAGGCACAUGCCAGCUGUUUCCAUUCAUCCAACCUGAACCUGAGCCCCCGAUCAUUUUUUCUACCACUUUUCAGUCCUGGGAAACUCAGUCCCAAUGUGCUUGUCAUUCAUUUGAGAAUAAUUUUCAUUUUCUCCAGUAGUUUUAAAAUUACUUUGUAUCUAUUCUAGAUAUCGUUUGCUCUAUCAUAGUUAAGACAUUAAUGUUAUUUAUGAAUUUGUGCACAUUAAACUCAUGAUCUUUCAUUUCUGUAAAAAUGUCAACUAUUUCCUUUGCAAGUAUUUAUUGACUAACAUACUCCUUAUUUCCUUCAUUCUGAAAGUGUGACACAUAGAGAUAUAUCUGUUUCCUCUUCUCACUCUAUUCUUUGUGUGCAUUAAUUAUCUUUUCUAUUUUUUUCAUUUCUAGUUUUUCUCCGAUGACUAAUGAAAAAUUUAAUAAAUAUUCUACACCAA
rnacentral:lncRNA from 10 species